GAAAAUACAACGUUUCGGCCGUGGAUCCUUCUUCAGUGUUUCAAACAUCAAAGCGCGACACACAGAAGACGUGGCCAAGACGUGAGUCUUCAGUAUUUCACCUGAACACAGAGGAGUCCUUAAACCACGAGGAGGAAGGGUACCCCCAGCUGGCCCAGUGAACUCACAUUCAGGACCUCCCAGUGGAUCUCUGCAUGGGCUAGGAAGCCGGCACUCACUCUGAAAGGUCAUUUCCUCAGCAAAUUACCAGGCUUCACAUAUUCUGCCAUGGAAAAUGAGACGAUAAUUGGCACAGAAAACGAAGACCCCGAGCAGGAGACUAAAUUACCUAUUAAGCAAGAUGUGGUAUGCACUCUGGAUAAGGAGCAAAGAUUCCAGUAAUGACGGUGCUCCUUUCUACCCUCCUCAAACUCAGGAUUACCCAAAGUGGGAGUUCAGAACGAUUUUAUAGAGAUGACAGUGACUGAAAAAGAGACAGUACUACUUCACUUUGUAAGACACAGCGCCAUUUUGUAAGUAACUGCAUAAAUAAGAAGGAAUGAUGCUCUCACACACAAGUAACAAACACUUACUGUAUUUCAACCUGUAUAGUUUAUAAAGGAAGAGUCAGUGAAGCAUGUGGUACUGAAGUCACAUGACUCCAAUGUGCUAUUGACACACAAUUGACUGACAUGCAUUAAAAAUGAUACUAAUGCGACUGAUUCCAGUACUCACUCAUACCUGAUUUUCUUGGCUAGUGCUGGUGUAGCUUCUGCACUUGUUCUUUAGUUGCUUUACUGAUUGAGGAAUCCAUAUAUGGGAAAUACUGAGGAUUUCCAGCAGAUCCAACUGCUUCUCAAUCAUUUCGUUGCCACCUGGCACUUGGGUGGUGCUGGGCCGAGCCAGGCCAGCCCAAAUGCCCAAUUGAAAAGUUGUAACCCCCCCCUUAGACGAGCUGAUUCCUGUCCCUGUUCUCUGUGCAAGAAGCCUCCUCCACCCCAGCCGGUGAAGUUAGAUAAUGAGAGAUGAGUCCAGUGUAAAUGGGAUCAGGAAAAGCAUGAGAGUACCUGGCUCCCUCAAAUGGCAUAUUAGGCACACUUGCCAACCAGCCUCAGCCCUGAGCCUUUGUUUCCUAGACAAUUCUGAAUUACACCGCAGACGCAGUGAAUUGCUCAGAUUUCUUCCAUCCUCCCCAUCCUUCGCUUUUUUGGCUAGAGCCAAUUUACUUUUCAGGCUCGAUAAAAAAAAAAUCCAAUUCAAAUUUCAAGUCACAUCUCUACAGCUUUGUGACAACUGGGAUUUAUGAAUAACAGUCGCCUUUUCUUUCUCUCUCUCUAUCCCCUUUUCCUCGGGGGAAUGCAUUCAGCAGGUGUUUCUCCGCUCCUGGAGCCAGAAGGACUGGGCUUGGCAUCGCUGGCCAUCUUUGGUUUCACUCGCUGCCUUCCCAGUGAGGAUUCCCAAGGUCCGGUUGGGAUAAUCGUUCACAGGCACUUCUCCGGUCACGGCGAAUUUAGCCUUCUGCCAGGCGUCAAAUCAGAGUCAAAAAAGCCGGUGUGGCAGGGAUGUGAGCCAGCUAUCUCUGGGCUCACCUUGUGGAUCUUGUCAUUUCAGCGUGUGGAGCAAAUUUCAGAGCCCUAGAGAAUGUACAAACAGUCUAGAUAAGUGUUAUUCAAUAAUGUACUUUGAAUAACUGCUGUGGAAAAUGUUCACAGCUUCAGGAGGAUGCUUUUCUGUGCUUUAACAGGAUCCCAAAGAUAGAGUUCUAGUCUUUUGGCAGUGCUGUUGAAUGUAUUUUUUUUCUUCAUUUGGUUUACUAUGCCAUUAUUUGCUCCCCUGACCCAUUAGUGGAACAGACAACUGGUAAACUCUGGGUAGCUGAUAAAACAAGUUUUGUGGGUUGCAAGCUAAAAGUCUGAAGAACGCCAUUAACCAAAUUGAGAUGCAUGAGCACUCUACAUUAUAGAGUCAACGCUAACAUUUACAUACCCCAAAUUGAUCUGAUUAUUAUUUUUAUUUUAAAUGUUAUUAAAAUUAACUUACACUUAUGGAAUCAAAGCCAAUACCAUUCUUUGCAAUUGCUUUUGACAUUGACAUGGCGAGAUAAUGUGACAAUAGCAUGAUCACACUCUUCAUGGGUGAAGGGCUGAACUAAACAUAUUAUGGAAAGCAACAGAGAGACCAGAAACAUGAGGAAGAGAAACUGGAGACAAAUGCUCUGCUAUUGAAGGCUGAUACUGUAUAACUGAUCGAAAGGUCUUGACACAGAAACUUAAAAGGCUCUCUCACAGAAGGCUAAUAGCUGGGCCUGAUCAUAAUUUAAUUGUUCAGUUUGCUGAAGCAGGUAGAUGAAGAGAUCCAAUUAGUAGCGCAUGGGGCUUGUCAUUGAGGUAUAUAGGUAUCUGAGCACUUGAACUGACAAAUCAGCUCUUAAAUAGUGUUGAAGAUACUUUAAAAUUGCAUCCCCUGCAGAGAGUAUUUUGUUACUUAGAUUAAGAACUCACAGAGUCUACAAUUCAGAGAUACAGAGAUAACAUAACAUCUUUAUGUAUCUUUAGCAUAAGUACCUCUGAUACCUAUUGGAUAAUUCAGG